GGACACUGUUUCCAAGGCUUACGCGUGUUAGGGGAGACAUGAUCAAACACAAGCACCUCAGUCACUGUGAGGUUUUCAUAGAAAAACCAGCAUCGUGAGUCACCACCAAAUGUGCAAUCGGCGAGUGGCACCUGCAGCGGGACUCCACUUCACGCCAGGAAAUCCCAAAUGCACUGUCUCCUUCCACACGGGGGCCUGCUGCCCUGGACUUCUGUCUGUGGCCGCUGCCGCACUGCAGUGGCAACCGCAAGUGGAUUCCGCUUGCUCCAGAAGUGCCGCAUCAAACCUUGCUUGAACAUCUGGAAGUUCACGGUUCACGUACUGUUGAAGCCUGGCUUGGAGAAUUUUGAGCAUUCUUUGCUAGUGUGUGAGAUGAGUGCAAUUGUUUGAGCAUUCUUUGGCAUUGCCUUUCUUUGGGAUUGGAAUGACAACUGACCUUUUCCAGUCCUGUGGCUACUGUGGUAAAGAAUCUGCUUAUGAAUGCAGGAGAUGCACGAAAUGCAAGUUCAAUGCCUGGGUCAGGAAGAUCCCCUGGAGCAGGAAAUGGCACCCACUCCAGUGUUCUUGCCUGGGAAAUCCCAUGGACAAAGAAGC
ensembl:lncRNA